rnacentral:misc_RNA from 1 species
GAUGAAGAACGUAGUGAAAUGCGAUAAGUAAUGUGAAUUGCAGAAUUCAGUGAAUCAUCGAAUCUUUGAACGCGCAUUGCGCCCUCUGGUAUUCCGGGGGGCAUGCCUGUUCGAGCGUCAUUAUAACCACUCAAGCUCUCGCUUGGUAUUGGGGUUCGCGGUUUCGCGGCCCCUAAAAUCAGUGGCGGUGCCUGUCGGCUCUACGCGUAGUAAUACUUCUCGCGAUUGAGUUCGAUAGGUCUACUUGCCAGUAACCCCCAAUUUUUACAGGUUGACCUCGGAUCAGGUAGGGAUACCCGCUGAACUUAAGCAUAUCAAUAAGCGGAGGA